UGCCAAGGACCCCAGUCUCCCCGGUCACCCUCGCCACCACCUGUGACAGGCCUCAAGCUCCUCUCCCGCAAAGGCCCCCAGCCUCCGUGCAAGCAUUCUUAAACUCUUUACGCCUAACGAACAAGCACAGUUUUUUCAACGGUGAAGAAAAAGCACCAGACUUGUUUUCCUGAAGAAAUCCCCCAAGCCCCAACCCCGCCUGUGGGACAAACAUUCCCCGCGUGGGGCUGUAGCAACGUCUGUCAGGUCCCCCUUGUGUUUCAUCUCCUGCGCGCGCGUAGAGCAAAUGCUAGAGCGAUUUCAGCUGAUAGAAAAACAAAAAAGAAAAAAAAAACACAAAAAAAUUAAAAAAAAACAUGGCACGUUGCUAGUUUACAGGGUUUUGUGAGUUUAAAUGCCUUAUAUUUAACAAUCAUAAUUUAUGACUAACUUGUAGAUAUCGUGGGUUCUUAUUUAAUUAUUUUUAUAGUUGUUUUGCAUUUUUAAUUAUAAUUUAUUUAUUUAGAAAGGAUACUAAUGUUUUUUAUUGCUCCUAUUACCUCAUUUUGGCGUCGUUUCUGGGAGUGGAAUGCUUUGCAUGCGUUGGUACGAUGACAACUGCGAAACAAACAAACAAACAAACAAACCAUUUUAAAUAAAAGUCUGCGAACUUUAUUUUGUCCAAACUAUCAGGGUGUGUGAUUGCAAGCUGUCCUACUGUGGUGCUGGCCUCUUUGGAUACAUUCCAUACGAAAUGCAAACCUUUGAUUCUGUAUGCUGUGAUCUAGUGACAAGCUCCAAUAUAGUGAGUGUAUUUAGCACAUAUAUAAAUAUUAUUUGCACUCGUCAGCAGACUGGGGUAAUCCUUUCACUUGUCACUCGUGCCCCCUCCCCCAGGCCUCUUUCCCCACCUCAAGUCUGCUCUCUGUCUUCCCUCCCCUCCCUACAUUCCUAAGCCCUCUCAUCCCUCUAUCCCGAGGACAGUUACUAAGCUAUACUUGGGAUCCCACUCAGAAGGUUUCAGAACUGGGGUCCUUCAGACACAAUGAAUAUGCUCAUCUGAAAGAGAGGCUGUUUUAUUAGGUGGGGCCCAGAAGGCCCGCUCUGAUCAAGGGUAAGUCAGUCCCUGGACCCCCUGAGUCAGUCCUCAGCUCCGAGAGAGGGAGUCUAGAAGGGUGAUCUCUUGGUUCACCCUGAUU
rnacentral:lncRNA from 1 species